rnacentral:lncRNA from 1 species
GCCAAGCAGAAAAGAUAAUGAAUAGUGAAAGAUAGUGCUGAUUGUCACUCAAAUAGUUUUCAAUAAUAAGAUUCAGCCUGUGUGUUCCUAGCAACAGAUGCUCUCAAAGACCCUGUCACAAAUGACUUUUAAGCACAAUAUUUGUUGCAAAGAACCACAACAUUAACCAUCUCUUCACGGAUUCAGAUGUCCAACAUAAUGCUUAUGAUCUGCAGAAUACUGUUUCAGAUUCCAGGUUUUAUUUCUUUAAAUUUAUUUUAUUUUUUUUCCAGUAAAAAUUAUAUGAAAAUAAACAGGACGUAACAUAAGAAAAGGUUUGCUGUUAUGGUGGAAUAUGAGCACUAAUGUUUGUCCCAUUAUGCUGGAGAACAAAGGCUGUGCAAAACAUUAUGGCCAGUUACUCUAGCAGGUCAGCAGUUGGAAGGAGGGAGAGAAGGAGCAAGCAGAAUGUGCAUGCCGCAGCCUGGCUUCAGUCAUUAAACAAUUUAAAAAUUACUAUUGCUUGCCUGACUAUUCACUUAAAGAUAAAGUCCAUCAAAUGGGAUAAGGACUCACUUAUUUACCAGGUAUUUAUACACAUCAUUUGGUCAAAAUAGAUUGAUUAAGAAAUCUAUUAGAGAUGCCAUUUACACACAUGCAUAUGCCAUAUUUAAUUCCCAGUCAAUGGGCUGUUUUCAUUGCUUCCUCUGCAAGAUUGCUCUGCAUUCUAGUAAACUAAUUUUCAGAGUGGUUUCUUAAAAUUUAGUCUUCUCUAUUCUGAUUUUACCUCAUUAUUUG